UCCUGGAUGGCUUCAGGUUAAUACUUUGCUU
rnacentral:piRNA from 1 species